rnacentral:rRNA from 1 species
GUAGUCCACGCCGUAAACGAUGGAUACUAGCUGUUGGAGGUAUCGACCCCUUCAGUAGCGAAGCUAACGCGUUAAGUAUCCCGCCUGUGGAGUACGGUCGCAAGACUAAAACAUAAAGGAAUUGACGGGGACCCGCACAAGCGGUGGAUCGUGUUCUUUAAUUCGAUGAUAAACGAAGAACCUUACCAGGGUUUGACAUCCUUGGAAUUUCUGUGAAAGCAGAGAGUGCUUUAUUGAGCCAAGUGACAGGUGCUGCAUGGCCGUCGUCAGCUCGUGUCGUGAGAUGUUUGGUUAAGUCCAUCAACGAGCGCAACCCUUGUGAAUAGUUGUAUUUUUCUAUUCAGACUGCCCCGGUAACGGGGAGGAAGGAGGGGAUGAUGUCAGGUCAGUAUUGCCCUUACACCCUGGGCUAGAAACACGAUACAAUGGUUAGUACAAUGCGCAGCAAAACCGCGAGGUGGAGCAAAUCGCAUCAAAGCUAAUCUCAGUUCGGAUAAGAGGCUGAAACUCGCCUCUUUGAAGUCGGAAUCGCUAGUAAUCGCAGAUCAGCAAGCUGCGGUGAAUACGUUCCCGGGUCUUGUACACACCGCCCGUCAAACCAUGAAAGUCACCAACACCCGAAGUCCGAUUCGUCGGCCUAAGGUGGGGGGGAUGAUUGGGGUU